CCUAAGAAACAAGUUGCUAGGAA
rnacentral:siRNA from 1 species